GUUUUUUAUCUUUAACCUUGUUUGUUGCUAAUUUAAUGCAAACUAUUUCAUGUCAAGAGAAAUCAUUAUGAUGUAAACUCACAUUCUCAGUUCCUUUUUUUCCUGCAGGAGACGGCUUCAACGAGGUGUUGGACGGUGAUGCAGGUAAGUAUUUCCCAGACCUCGUCUCUGAGGAAGGUGAGUAUGGUGGUUUUCCUCAGGGUCGUUUCGAGUCGGACGAAGAGGAGGACGGUGAGUAUGGUGGUUUUCCUCAGGGUCGUUCUUUCCAGCCUCCCUCCACCCCAGGCCUCGGCUCCUCCACCAAGAGACGCAGGGAAGACAGCGAUGGAGAGCAGGUAGGUAAGAAGAGGCAGAGGAUCCACCUCGAGGACCCGGCACCCACACCUCCUUCUCCCAGGAGCACAGAAGAGGACUACAGGAACUCUGCACCCUCCACCUCUACAGGCCUGGGCACCUCCACCACCGGGACAUUCUGGCGUCCUUUCCAUUACGAGUGGGAUGACAGCGACUCCGAUGAGGACAGCUGGUAAUGUAUACUGCAGGAUUGGAAAGCCUUUGCGUCUUGCGGGGCAGAAGAAUCCUCAGGAAGCCUUAGCGUCUUGCGGGGCUCACUCAGCCCUCGGUAGCGUCUUGCACCAGGGCCCACUUGUACAUAUCUCAAUCUUGAGGGCUAAAAGGCCCAGGUGAACCCUCCACAUCUGACAUUGUUGUGGAUGCAUUAGGUAGCGUUUCACACCUAGUUAUUUCUUUUUACAGGGUUUUAUUACAGGUUAUAUAUUUGAUCAAUGUGGGGUUCAGUUUCUUGCACUUGUUCUUUGAUUUUUCAGGCACGUAUACCUGAGGUAAGUUGACAAUUAAUGACAGCAUCAACACGUUUUAAUUUCACUUAUUUAAUACUUGAGGGAUUAUUCGUCUUACUCACUUUGUUGUUUUGUUUUUCAGGUAUAGGUGGCCACACCAAACAAAUACCCAACAUCCAGGACUUCUUGGCGACAGAGACGAUGCGUUUACCCCGGACCAGAUGAGAAGGAUGGACGACUACAGGACCAGAAGGAGAGCGGUGGUCGCCUUUCUUUCAGUCAGCUAAGGCGGGACUCCUCUAUGUUUGUGGUACUCUUUGAGCAGCUGAGAGUGGCUGUCAAUCAUCUCAGGCAGAACCAGGACCACAGCAGACCACUGAGCCACUCUCAGCCUCAAGCCCCCCGCCUCUCCACC